GAUGAACGCUGGCGGCGUGCCUAAUACAUGCAAGUCGAGCGAACAGACGAGGAGCUUGCUCCUCUGACGUUAGCGGCGGACGGGUGAGUAACACGUGGAUAACCUACCUAUAAGACUGGGAUAACUUCGGGAAACCGGAGCUAAUACCGGAUAAUAUAUUGAACCGCAUGGUUCAAUAGUGAAAGACGGUUUUGCUGUCACUUAUAGAUGGAUCCGCGCCGCAUUAGCUAGUUGGUAAGGUAACGGCUUACCAAGGCAACGAUGCGUAGCCGACCUGAGAGGGUGAUCGCCCACACUGGAACUGAGACACGGUCCAGACUCCUACGGGAGGCAGCAGUAGGGAAUCUUCCGCGAAGGGCGAAAGCCUGACGGAGCAACGCCGCGUGAGUGAUGAAGGUCUUCGGAUCGUAAAACUCUGUUAUUAGGGAAGAACAAAUGUGUAAGUAACUAUGCACGUCUUGACGGUACCUAAUCAGAAAGCCACGGCUAACUACGUG
rnacentral:rRNA from 1 species